rnacentral:rRNA from 1 species
CCCUUAGAUGUUCUGGGCCGCACGCGCGCUACACUGACGAAUGCAACGAGCUUAUAACCUUGGCCGAAAGGUCUGGGUAAUCUCCAAAUUUCGUCGUGAUGGGGAUAGAUUAUUGCAAUUAUUAAUCUUCAACGAGGAAUUCCUAGUAAUGGUGAAUCAUCAGUUCAUCGUGAUUACGUCCCUGCCCUUUGUACACACCGCCCGUCGCUCCUACCGAUUGAGCAAACCGGUGAAUAGUUUGGACCGUCGGCUUUCUCGGUUCGCCGGGUUAGCAGUGCGGAAAAUUCAGUGAACCUUUUUGCUUAGAGGAAGGAGAAGUCGUANCA